GAUGAACGCUAGCUACAGGCUUAACACAUGCAAGUCGAGGGGUCUGCUUCGGCAGACGACCGGCGCACGGGUGAGUAACGCGUAUCCAACCUGCCCUUCAUAUUGGGAUAGCCUCUCGAAAGGGAGAUUAAUACCGAAUAACAUGGUAAAGUUGCCUGACCUUACCAUGAAAGCUCCGGCGAUGAAGGAUGGGGAUGCGUUCCAUUAGGUAGUAGGCGGGGUAACGGCCCACCUAGCCAUCGAUGGAUAGGGGUUCUGAGAGGAAGGUCCCCCACACUGGAACUGAGACACGGUCCAGACUCCUACGGGAGGCAGCAGUGAGGAAUAUUGGUCAAUGGGCGGGAGCCUGAACCAGCCAAGUAGCGUGAAGGAUGACUGCCCUACGGGUUGUAAACUUCUUUUGUUUGGGAAUAAAAGACGCUACGUGUAGCGUUCUGCAUGUACCUUACGAAUAAGCAUCGGCUAAUUCCGUG
rnacentral:rRNA from 1 species